GCGCAUGCGGCGUUGACAGUCAUACAUGUUAUCCGUUUCACGUAUCAUUGUGUCCCCAAUUUUCAAUUGUUUUUUUUUUUUUUUUAAUAAUUUUAAAAAUAGUUUCAUUUAAAUUAUUUUUGCUAGUGUUAAAGUUUUUGGUAACAGCAAAAAGUUUUUUAUGAAAAUGCGUCUGUUGUGGAUUUUGAUGCUUGCGGUAACAGUUGCGUUCGCGCAGGAUUGUAAAGUGCGCGGGAAAAGGUGCCUCGACCAUGAACAAUGUUGUGGUGGAUGCUGCGUCGAAGGCGAAUGUAUGGAUACAUAUCGAGCGUGCUAUUCUCCAUUCGACGUAUGCCACGAGUACUCCUGCAUCGGUGAAGAGACUUGUGUGGUGUUCGUGCCACCACAGUGCCCGGGAUGUGAACCCUUACCUAUUUGCAAGAUAUUAUAGUUUAGCCUAGGUGCAGCCCACACGAGUUGUGACGGUCAGUUACAUCGCAAUGUUAUCAUUUCAACGCAUUAAAUGCUUCCUUGUUAUUUACUAUGAUUGUGAACUAAGGUCACCGCUCAGACGUUGCAACGGACUUACAACGCAUUGUAUAUGUUGUUAGAUAGGUAAUCGCACGUAUUUGACGAGUUCCUAUUUCAAAAAAACUUUUAACUUUCGAAGCGUCUUGUCGAGGCAACCCACAACCCGAGGGCUGGCAGCUACUUUUGUCAAAAGGUUGGUUUAGCUGGGGAUGCAAAGGGGAAAUGCUACCAGUCUUUUGGGCACUUUGCCUCGGUGUGAUGCUUUGGAGAUUUUCUUUAUGUAGAUAACUGUAUGUUGUUUUAUGAAACACAAAACAACAUAUACAUAUACAAUAAUACAUCUACAAUAUUUUUUUAAAAUAAAUUAAAAUCAAUAAAAUUAUUUCAAUCAA